rnacentral:rRNA from 1 species
UACAGAGGUCUCAAGCGUUGUUCGGAUUCAUUGGGCGUAAAGGGUGUGUAGGUGGCGCCGUAAGUCGGGUGUGAAAUUUCGGAGCUUAACUCCGAAACUGCAUUCGAUACUGCGGUGCUUGAGGACUGGAGAGGAGACUGGAAUUCAUGGUGUAGCAGUGAAAUGCGUAGAGAUCAUGAGGAAGACCAGUGGCGAAGGCGGGUCUCUGGACAGUUCCUGACACUGAGACACGAAGGCCAUGGGAGCAAACGGG